rnacentral:lncRNA from 1 species
AGAGGUGGCGGAGCUGGGACUCAGACCUGACGGUCCUGUGGCUGUGAACCCCCGCCUCCCCAGUCCUCUGACGGUGUCCCCUCUAAGGAUACCUGAUACCUGGAGGGGCCAGCUGCCCCUCCUCUGUGAAAUGCACUGUGUUGCGGGGAGCGGCGAGGGGGACACAGGCCUCCGGGUGGAGCCUCCUGUGUCCUCAAAUGGGCAGGUCUUGUGCCCAUCACUCUGGCACAUCCAUCCACACCCCUGGAAAUGGUCGCCAAGCCCUCCCGCCUGAACUCCCACGCUAGAUGCCAAGCCUGAACGCAUCGCUUUCCAGGACGCCUUUGAAGCUGUGAGCCCACCUGGGGGUCCCCGCCAGGCAGGAAAUAUUGAGAUGGAAGAGGAGGAUGCUGGGGGUGCCCAGGGCGGCAGGACGCCACAGACCGGAGGGAAGCAGACCUAGCCAGGCCUUCCCGACCCUCGGGCACUGUGCCCCACCCCCACUGCCGGCAGUAGGGGGCCUCGCGGCCCCUCCGCAAGGUAAUGGGGUCCAGCGCAUAAGAGGCAGCCGGAGGCUGGCAUGCUGGAGGGCGCACUGCGGCCAUCGGCCCGCUUCUGGCUGGCCCGCCGCCGGGAAGCCUCCUCUGCAUCUUCCGCAGUGCCGGCCCUGCUUUGUGACUCUGGCCCCGCUGUGACAGGCAGAGAUGACGGCCUGUCACCUCCCGCCAUGCUCAGGACAGAGGACGUGCCCACAGCAGAGCUGAGUGACGGGACCACGUCAGUUCUUUCUGGGAGUUCGUUUCCACCACGCGCGUCCAGAACCCCACCUGAGCCGUCAUCCCCUCCCCGGCGGGGUGCCCGGCCCAUCGACCCCUCCCCUGUCAGGGUGCCCAGCCCGUCCCUUCUCACCGAGGCCCUGAACCAGUUCUGGCGGGGUUGCUCCUGGCCAGAACCCGCAGGGCCUGUGACCACUGGGGCCCCAUCGAACCUCUUGGCCCAACAAGGCGCCAAGACCCGCCCAGGGCGGCCUUCAGGCCUAGCCCUGGGUCUCCAGCCGGCUGGGCCCUCACGGGCCUGACGCACGCCUCCUCCUCUGGCCCCUGCAUCUCCGCUGCUUCCAGUGAUCAGAGCCUUCCCAAGCCAGUCUCUCCUCCCAGAAGCCUCCCAGGCCCUCCCCAGGCCUCCCUGGGGACCUGUGACACCUGCCCCGCCCCCUUGCCCCAGCCUCCCAGCAGACCUAGUCCCUCCCAGACCCUGGGGCGGCAGCAGCCCCACCCCUGCUGGAGCCAGGGGCGCAUGUGGGCCCUGCCCAUCCGUCUGUCUGGGGAAGGGGGGGCCUGUGGGGAGGGGCCUGGCAAGAGCAGAGCUCCCAGCGGGCACGCCUGUCCUGGGCCUGAAGGGCUGCUGACAGGAGGCAUCUGGUUUCCAGGGACAGGCGGUCGAGGGCGAUGGCACCUGUCAGCAUUUCUGCCCUUCAGCGUGAGCCGAGGCAGGGCCCGCAUGUCUGGGGGAGCUGGCCAGACUCCUCCCCGCUGGGCUGCAGGAGUCUGCCAGCUGAGACCUGCUGCCCAGGCUGGGGGCUUCCCGGGCAUGCGUCCCCUGUCUCGCCCAACCAGACUGGCCUUGGAGCUGGGAGGCCCCUUGUCCCCAGGCCAGGGUGGGGUUCCACCAACAGAGCAUGGUCUGCACACUCAGCACCCCAAGAACACAGGUGCCAACCUGUGCCCUGCCCUGGCUGUGCAGCCUUGGCCAGGUGGCCAGCCCUCCUGGUCCUGCUUCCACGUCUGGAAAACGGGAGCAGUGGUGUGAGGUGGGGCCCUCAGCACAGAGCUUCCCCAGAAGCAGGCGCCCUCCCCCCAUUAGGGUCUGCUGUCCCCUCCCUCCUCCUGCCCUCCCCCGCCCCUCCUGGAUGGCUUUCCUCCGGGGCACCACAUCUGAGCCCCUUGCAGGUGCCCCAGCAUCGACUGCUGCCCAGGGACCAGCCUGAGGGUCCGGCCAGCAGGGAGGCCGGGCGGCAUCGGGAAGCCCACGGCCUGAAGGCCCACGGAGGGACCUCAGAGGCAGCCCGGAUCCUCCAGCUGGACACCUGGCGACCAGAGACCAGUGUCCUCCUGAACCUGCUUCUCAGAGACAACCUGCCCCCUCCGUGUCCUGCCUCGGAGAGGAUUCAGAUGGAUGUGAGUUUGGGGGCGUGGGGGUCCUGCUCCCCUUCCCCGCUUCUCACCGGGAAAGAGAACGAGGUCUCCCGCCCCUCCUGCUGCGAGGCCUUCCCCACAGGAGAACUUCUUACAGACUCUUGUUGUCCCUGGAAGGUAUCUCACUGAGACCCCACAUUCAAAACCCUGCCCUUCUAAAGCUCCUUGAGGAGUUCUGGCCCCGGGGUGACCCCAGUGGGGUCUGCGGUUUCUGUGUCCGGGUGGCAGGGGUGCCUUUCUUAUCUUUCCUGACCUGGUGAGCUGGUGAGGCUCCUGGGCAAGCCCCUCCCCUCCCUCCCCCCACCGGCAGCGCCUUUACCAGAUCCACUUUGCCGACGCCUCGGUCCUCGGGGAAAAUACAAGAAGUGCCCCCGUGGCUGCCUGUCUGCCGACAAAGCCUCUCUCCAGCCUUCUCCGGACACUGACCUGCACCGAACGUUGUGCAGCCAGUGCGGUCCGGAGGCAGCCGGCCGGGUCCGAACGCUGCAGCCCGGGGCCACGGUGGAGGCCAGGCCUCUCCCCGAGCCGCCAGGACCUGUCGGUCUUUGCUGUCGGGUGAAGAAGCGCCACAGCCACCCUGCAUGCGGGUCCUUGUAGGCUUCUCCACGUGGCCUCACAGGCGGGACCAAGCUGCUAAGGCCACAUGGGUCCCUACCUUGUCGGAUGGUGCUGGCCCCUCCUUGGGAAGGGCCGGCCUGCCUCCACCUGCCACCAGUGCCCCCGCCUCAGCCGUCGGUCCCUCCUGGGAUGCCGGCCCGUCGGUGACGCGAGCCGUGGAACCUCCGUGCUGUUUGGCGUCACUUUUUUUUGGACAAGAGCAGAUGGGGCAUCUUUUCUCCUCUUGAAGAGGCGUUCGCCUUGUUUCCUCUUACAAGCCCUGGUCGCCGUCUUCCCGCGCUUUCCCCUGGAUGGCUGGACCUGGCUCCCGGGAACGUCUGGCUCCUGGGGACUUUUUAGCCGGCACCUGUGCUGCCAGCUCACCAACCUGGGGGUCUCCCCCUCCCCGCCUCCAGCCCUGACUUUCUGUCUCGAGAUUCGUCUCUUUCGAACACGGCAUACCCUGAGGUCGUGCCUAAGUGGUUUGUGUGACUGUCCCUGCAGUGUUUUCGAGGCUCAUCCAUUCAGACCAGCCCGUCGCCCCUUCUUACUGCCAGAUAAUAGCCCAUCCAGUGAUGGAAGUUGAGCUGCAAAGAAAAAAUAUUU